GGAUUAGAGGAAGGAGUAGAGGAAACCAUCAGAGGUGCAGAGGAAAUAGGAGGAACAGACGUACCAGUAGAAAUUUGCAGAGGAGCUGGAGAUCUGCUUCCAGAAGAUUCUCCAAGUCUUGCCUUCUUUGCCUGUGAUGUUAUCUUCUUCUCAGAGAGACCUCUCUUGUACCUGACGAAGUCUUCUUCUGAAUCUAGACAAUCGUCGAGGCUGAAGUCAGAGAUGUCAACACCUUCAUCCAGCAGACGAUUAAGAUAGAUAGCAACCGCAUCUC
rnacentral:lncRNA from 1 species